rnacentral:rRNA from 1 species
AAAUUGAAGAGUUUGAUCAUGGCUCAGAUUGAACGCUGGCGGCAGGCCUAACACAUGCAAGUCGAGCGGAAACGAGUUAUCAGAACCUUCGGGGAACGAUAACGGCGUCGAGCGGCGGACGGGUGAGUAAUGCCUAGGAAAUUGCCCUGAUGUGGGGGAUAACCAUUGGAAACGAUGGCUAAUACCGCAUGAUGCCUACGGGCCAAAGAGGGGGACCUUCGGGCCUCUCGCGUCAGGAUAUGCCUAGGUGGGAUUAGCUAGUUGGUGAGGUAAGGGCUCACCAAGGCGACGAUCCCUAGCUGGUCUGAGAGGAUGAUCAGCCACACUGGAACUGAGACACGGUCCAGACUCCUACGGGAGGCAGCAGUGGGGAAUAUUGCACAAUGGGCGCAAGCCUGAUGCAGCCAUGCCGCGUGUGUGAAGAAGGCCUUCGGGUUGUAAAGCACUUUCAGUCGUGAGGAAGGUAGUGUAGUUAAUAGCUGCAUUAUUUGACGUUAGCGACAGAAGAAGCACCGGCUAACUCCGUGCCAGCAGCCGCGGUAAUACGGAGGGUGCGAGCGUUAAUCGGAAUUACUGGGCGUAAAGCGCAUGCAGGUGGUUUGUUAAGUCAGAUGUGAAAGCCCGGGGCUCAACCUCGGAAUUGCAUUUGAAACUGGCAGACUAGAGUACUGUAGAGGGGGUAGAAUUUCAGGUGUAGCGGUGAAAUGCGUAGAGAUCUGAAGGAAUACCGGUGGCGAAGGCGGCCCCCUGGACAGAUACUGACACUCAGAUGCGAAAGCGUGGGGAGCAAACAGGAUUAGAUACCCUGGUAGUCCACGCCGUAAACGAUGUCUACUUGGAGGUUGUGGCCUUGAGCCGUGGCUUUCGGAGCUAACGCGUUAAGUAGACCGCCUGGGGAGUACGGUCGCAAGAUUAAAACUCAAAUGAAUUGACGGGGGCCCGCACAAGCGGUGGAGCAUGUGGUUUAAUUCGAUGCAACGCGAAGAACCUUACCUACUCUUGACAUCCAGAGAACUUUCCAGAGAUGGAUUGGUGCCUUCGGGAACUCUGAGACAGGUGCUGCAUGGCUGUCGUCAGCUCGUGUUGUGAAAUGUUGGGUUAAGUCCCGCAACGAGCGCAACCCUUAUCCUUGUUUGCCAGCGAGUAAUGUCGGGAACUCCAGGGAGACUGCCGGUGAUAAACCGGAGGAAGGUGGGGACGACGUCAAGUCAUCAUGGCCCUUACGAGUAGGGCUACACACGUGCUACAAUGGCGCAUACAGAGGGCGGCCAACUUGCGAAAGUGAGCGAAUCCCAAAAAGUGCGUCGUAGUCCGGAUUGGAGUCUGCAACUCGACUCCAUGAAGUCGGAAUCGCUAGUAAUCGUGGAUCAGAAUGCCACGGUGAAUACGUUCCCGGGCCUUGUACACACCGCCCGUCACACCAUGGGAGUGGGCUGCAAAAGAAGUAGGUAGUUUAACCUUCGGGGGGACGCUUACCACUUUGUGGUUCAUGACUGGGGUGAAGUCGUAACAAGGUAGCGCUAGGGGAACCUGGCGCUGGAUCACCUCCUUA